rnacentral:rRNA from 1 species
AAAGUNGUAACAAGGUUUCCGUAGGUGAACCUGCGGAAGGAUCAUUAUCGAUGACUCCAAUUCCUUGGAACCAAACACCUGUGCACCUGGUGCUUUGCACGCUAUCCUUUCGGGGUUGGGCCCUGGGCCCAUUAAAUCGGAUUCUAUGGCAGCCGCACGGCGCCUGGCCUCGCGAGAGGUUGGGUUGGAGUCGAGCGCUGUCCCGGGCCCCGUUUGGAAAUGCAGCGUGUGAGCUGUUUUUCACCGCGCAGCCUCUGCGGCUGCGUUUUUCAACCUUUUCUUAACCAAGCAAAUUUGCAGACUGAACUGUGGGCUUUCUUUACGGAAAGCUUGUCUCUGAAUCCAAUCUGGGACAACUUUCAACGGUGGAUCUCUUGGCUCGUGGAUCGAUGAAGAACGCAGCAAAACGCGAUAUGUAGUGUGAAUUGCAGAAUUCAGUGAAUCAUCGAAUCUUUGAACGCAAAUGGCGCUCCUGGGUAUUCCCAGGAGCAUGUCUGUCUCAGUGUCGUCUUCACCUCGAGCGCGCUUCGGCGCGGUGGUCUUGAGGCGUCUGAGUUCUUCUCUUUGGGGAGAGCUCAGUCCCUUGAAAUGCAGUGGCCGGACACCUUUUUGCGCUGCACCGGGUGGCUGCUCGCCCCGGACUGCUCGCACGGCUGAUGGACGGCUUUUAGCCCGCCAACACUUGUCGUGUCGCAGCAGCUGGGAAUCGAGCCCACACCAACGCGGCGUGGGAGUCCGAAACAAGCCAGUUCUGGAAGCGACUCGUUUGUCUUGUCCUCGCGGACGAUUCGAACAUCUUUGACCUGAGAUCAGGCAAGACUACCCGCUGANUUUAAGCAUAUUAAUAAGCGGAG